rnacentral:rRNA from 1 species
ACGCUCGACACCUACGGAAGGCAGCAGUGAGGAAUAUUGGUCAAUGGGCGCUAGCCUGAACCAGCCAAGUAGCGUGAAGGAUGAAGGCUCUAUGGGUCGUAAACUUCUUUUAUAUAAGAAUAAAGUGCAGUAUGUAUACUGUUUUGUAUGUAUUAUAUGAAUAAGGAUCGGCUAACUCCGUGCCAACAGCCGCGGUAAUCUGAGCGGGCUGGCAAGGC